rnacentral:rRNA from 1 species
AGCGAACGCUGGCGGCGUGCCUAACACAUGCAAGUCGAACGUGAAAGGGAGCAAUCCCAAGUAAAGUGGCGUACGGGUGAGUAACACGUAGGUAAUCUACCCCAGAAUCUGGAAUAACCGGCCGAAAGGCUGGCUAAUACUUGAUAGAGCGACGGAAUCCGUAAUUGGGUUUUUCGGGAAAGGGAGCCUGUAAAAAGGCCUUCGUUCUGGGAUGAGCCUGCGUCCCAUCAGCUAGUUGGUGAGGUAAAAGCUUACCAAGGCAAUGACGGGUAGGUGGUCUGAGAGGACGGUCAGCCACACUUGAACUUAAACACCGUCCAGACUCCCUAGGGAGGCAGCAGUGGGGAAUCUUUCGGAAUUGACGAAAGUCUUACGCAGCAACGCCGCGGUGGUGAAGAAGGCCUUCGGGUUCGAAAGCUCUGUCUAGUGGGACGAAAAUGCUUGGUGUUCACAGCUCCAGGAACUGACGGUACCUAUAAAGAAAGCACCGGCUAACUCCGUG